GGCCGUUUAUUUCAGUGGUAGAAGAUUCGCCUCCUAGAAGCUCAAAGCUUUUCAGACAGCGAAAGGUCCGCGGUUCGAACCCGCGAUCGGUCG
rnacentral:tRNA from 1 species